rnacentral:tRNA from 1 species
GGAGAAUUAGCUCAGCUGGGAGAGCAUCUGCCUUACAAGCAGAGGGUCGGCGGUUCGAACCGUCAUUCUCCACCA